AUGUUCCUCUCUGGCAGGUGCCGAGUUGAAAACUGGACGCGUUGUUUUAAACACAAAAAAUCGGUAUAUUUGCUUAUUUGGAGAGAGACAGCGAGCAGGGGAGGGGCUUCCAUGCUGCCAGCAUGCGAACCAUGCAACUGUGACCUGAGCCGAAGUUGGAUGCUUAACCGACUGAGCCACCCAGGUGCCCCUAAGAUCUACUCUCUUAGCAACUUUCAAACAUAUAAUAUGUAUUGUUAACUAUAAUCGUCACGCUUCUACCGCACAUUCCCAAGACUUACUUAUUAUAUAACCAGAGGUUUGUAUCUUUCGACCACCUCCACUCAUUGCAAAGGCUUUUUAAUUUCAUUUACUGGAUAAUUGUAUCCUAAGGCUCAAGGUAUGUAAGAUAUAUACAUAUAUAUGCAAUGUACACACAUAUAUGUGCAUGUUACAUGCAUAUGU
ensembl:lncRNA